CCGUUCCGCAUCCGCGUUUUAACCUAACCCUACUCAAUCCCAACAUACCAGGUACUUGGAAUAACCUAAUAUGCAAGUACAUGAUAUUGAUGUUACAAGGUGAAAUGAGAUUUAAUCAUAAUCGAUUGUAUAAUAGUAUAGUAACAUUUUUGCUACAAUGACAUUUUUGCUACAAUAUUUCUACAUUAGAAAAGAUAUUACCAUUUGGCUAGAAGCUUUUCAGACGCAGCUAAAUUUAAUAAUACUUUCUUCCAGAUUUGCAAGUGAAAAACACACAUUUAUUUGGCCAAGUUUUUAACCUUUUUUGUAUAAUAAAUAUUCAAUUUGAAAAAGAUUGCCCCAAGAAGGCCAAGAAUUGCUCAUCUAGAGGCUUCACGUAAAUUUACAUACAUACAUAUUAAUAUCCUGUUAGUAAUUCAUAAUUACAAGUAGUGGUUGCUAUCAUACUAAAUUUAAUUAUCAAAACAAAUUUCAUUAAUCUACAGUCACAUCUCUAGUCUACAGUCACGACAAUCACAUCUCUAAUUAAAUUUUUGUUUACAGUAAUAUUUACAUGGAAUUUUUACAUGGUUUUUGUAGAAAUUACUGCCAAGAAAGUUAAUUUAAAUUCAAAACUAAGGAGUAAAAGUCAAGACUAUUUUGAAUAAAAUGGAUGAUGCAUUACUGGUUUGAAAAUACAAGGUCAGUUUGAUUUUUGCAAGCGUUGUGGGCUUGUGGCAUUAGCAUAAGAAAGAUAAAUGAUAAAAAUGACUGAUACCAUAAAAAAUAGAAUUAGCCUUGUGCAAAAUAUUUCCUAGAUAUCAGAUAUGGGGUGAAUAGGUUUUCGGAUCGUCGGAUUCCGUCGAAAACAUUGUUCGGAUUUUGGAUCUGGCGAAUAUUUUACACGGUUUUGCGGAUCUUAUUAAUACAUCGGAUUGCGGAUUUAUCUAAUAUUUUGACUCAGAUUGUGGAUUUACCUUGUAAUUUAAUUUGAAUCCUGGUUUGUGACUUUAUAGUAGAGCUUUUAGCGGAUCCAAAUUUAGAUAAAACCAUUGUCGGAUUGGCGGAUUUUGCUUCGAACUUGGGCGGAUCGACAGAUUUGUUUUGUGUCAAUAUAGGAUAGAGAAACUGGUUUCCACUUGAUUGCAGUCACAACCAAGUCAUGGUCAUUGGUAACUAAGUCUGGAUCAAUCUUGUCUUUUGUGUACUGUAUGUAAAGCAAGGAGAGCUUUGACAUUUCCAGCAAAGGUCUAAUUUGUCUGGUGAAAAGCCCUUCAAUCAAAAUAUCGAAGUUCUUGUAUUUUUCAGGUAGUUGUAUCCCUAUCUAAUCCAAAGCUUUCCUAUUGACACUACCUACACUGACACAGAGUGCAGUAUGUAAAGUAGUCUUCUGGUUACAGGAAUACAUCAUGGACAUUCUAAUCACAAUUACAUCUGUUUCUA